rnacentral:rRNA from 1 species
GUGCAGCAGGCGAGAAUUUUUCUCAAUGGGGGAAACCCUGAAGGAGCGACGCCGCGUGGAGGAUGAAGGCCUUCGGGUUGUAAACUCCUGCCAUUGGAGAACAAGGAGCCGAGAGUAACUACUUCGGCUUUGAUAGUAUCAGAAGAGGAAGGGACGGCUAACUCUGUGCCAGCAGCCGCGGUAAUACAGAGGUCCCAGGCGUUGUUCGGAUUCAUUGGGCGUAAAGGGUGCGUAGGUGGCGCCAUAAGUCAGGUGUGAAAUUUCGGAGCUUAACUCCGAAACUGCAUUUGAUACUGUGGUGCUUGAGGACUGGAGAGGAGACUGGAAUUUACGGUGUAGCAGUGAAAUGCGUAGAGAUCGUAAGGAAGACCAGUGGCGAAGGCGGGUCUCUGGACAGUUCCUGACACUGAGGCACGAAGGCCAGGGAGCAAACGGGAUUAGAUACCCGCGUAGU